rfam:Populus trichocarpa scaffold_11_contig_630, whole genome shotgun sequence.
UAAUUUAUCUGAAACAAAUUCUCAUUUAAUUAUAAUAGAUUCAUAUUUAUUUGCUCAUAAUUUCCUGUCAUCUCAAGCACGAUUGGAUCAUUUUCUUGCAAAGAAAACACAUAAUUUAUAUAUCUCAAUCAUGAGAUUUAUAU